UACGAAGGACCCGAGCGUUAUCCGGAUUUAUUGGGUUUAAAGGGUGCGUAGGCGGAUUUACAAGUCAGUGGUGAAAUCUCCCAGCUUAACUGGGAAACUGCCAUUGAAACUGUUUAUCUUGAGUACAUUUGAGGCGGGCGGAAUGUGUCAUGUAGAGGUGAAAUUCUUAGAUAUGACACAGAACACCAAUUGCGAAGGCAGCUCGUUACACGAAGAUUGACUCUGAGGCACGAAAGCGUGGGGAUCAAACAGG
rnacentral:rRNA from 1 species